GGAUGAUGUUUAUUGAUGGAUAGUUAAUAUUAUGACAACGAUCAGGAAGAGAAUUUAAUACAAUGAUCACCGAGCAAGCACUCGUAAAUAGAAAAUUCGAAAAACAGUAGUUGAAAUUAUCAUUGCGAAUCAACACACCAAUUAACUGCUUGGGAUAGUCAGUCUAAAUGUAUUCAAAUGGGUCUGAGGACUCGACAGGUUCAGGAUACGCACGUAUUUCAGCCAUCAGCAGUUCAAUUAAUUCAACACAGUACUCGAGAGGUUCAGGAUACGCACGUUUUUCAGCUAUCAGCAGUUCCACUAAUUCAACAGAG